UAGGGAAUAUUGGACAAUGGGCGCAAGCCUGAUCCAGCCAUGCCGCGUGCAGGAUGAAGGCCCUAUGGGUCGUAAACUGCUUUUGUACGGGAAGAAACCUGAUUACGUGUAAUCAGCUGACGGUACCGUGAGAAUAAAGAUCGGCUAACUUCGUGCCAGCAGCCGCGGUAAUACGAAGGAUCCAAGCGUUGUCCGGAUUUACUGGGUUUAAAGGGAGCGUAGGCGGACUUUUAAGUCAGUGGUGAAAGCUUGCAGCUUAACUGUAAAAUUGCCAUUGAAACUGAAAGUCUCGAGUAUGGUUGAGGUGACUGGAAUAUAUCAUGUAGCGGUGAAAUGCUUAGAUAUGAUAUAGAACACCAAUUGCGAAGGCAGGUCACUAAACCAUAACUGACGCUGAGGCUCGAAAGCGUGGGGAUCAAACAG
rnacentral:rRNA from 1 species